CAAUAGCGUAUAUUAAAGUUGUUGCAGUUAAAAAGCUCGUAGUUGAAUUUCUGGCGGGCGCGCCGGUCUUCCAAGUGUUGUACUGGGCGCAGUCCGCCAUCCUUGUGGAGAGGGCUCGCAUUGAGUUGCGUGUCGGAUCUGCAUCAUUUACUGUGAAAAAAUUAGAGUGUUUAAAGCAGGCUAUCGCUUGAAUACAUUAGCAUGGAAUAAUAAGAUAGGACUUCGGUCUAUUUUGUUGGUUGCGAACCGAGGUAAUGAUUAAUAGGGAUAGUUGGGGGUAUUCAUAUUUAAUUGUCAGAGGUGAAAUUCUUGGAUUUAUGAAAGAUGAACAACUGCGAAAGCAUUUACCAAGGAUGUUUNCAUUAA
rnacentral:rRNA from 1 species